UACGUAGGGUGCAAGCGUUAAUCGGAAUUACGGGGCGUAAAGCGUGCGCAGGCGGUUUUGCAAGACAGAUGGGAAAUCCCCGGGCUCAACCUGGGAACUGCAUUUGUGACUGCAAGGCUAGAAUCUGGCAGAGGGGGGUAGAAUUCCACGUGUAGCAGUGAAAUGCGUAGAUAUGUGGAGGAAUACCGAUGGCGAAGGCAGCCCCCUGGGCUAAGAUUGACGCUCAUGCACGAAAGCGUGGGGAGCAAACAGG
rnacentral:rRNA from 1 species